UAAUAGAAUAAAUAAUAUUUCAGCAAAGAUUCAUGUUAGAUUGUUUGGUUGAUUUUAAUUGUCAUAAAAUUCCCUGUCCUUGUUGCAUCUGCCACAAGUAAAAAUUGAUUUGUGUACAGGGAAAGUGUAAUGAAAAAGGAUCUGUUUUUAUGAAAACUGCAUAUAAAAUGCCAUUCUCCAUUAAUGAAGAUUAAUUAUUAACUUGGCUUUUACGUUUUGCUACUGUGGAAAAUUCAGUAUACAGGAAACAACAUUGAUAUGCAGGACUGGGUAUGCCUCUGAUAUGGAAGAAGUUAUUUCAUAGGCUUUGGAUUUUGGUACCAAAUCAAGAGUUGGUAUUUAGAUGAU